rnacentral:lncRNA from 1 species
GUAUCUAAUCAGGAACAGGACACCUAAGACCUAAGUUGAACUUUGGCAAGGUUGUCCCAUGCAGAAGGUUUGAUUCCCAGGCUUCUUUUGUACAAGUCCCUUGUCUACCCUCAUCUUGAGAACUGUUCCGGUGUCUGGGAUCCCUACAACAUCUCAGAUGUCCAGGACGCUACUUCACAAUGGGGACCACAAGAGAACCAGCAGUUUGACUGAGAUGAUCAGCACCUUUUAGUUGCCUACUAUAUCUACAACCACAAGGCACUCUGCAAGAAGACUGGGAAUGGUGCACAAGAUAGUCAAUGGUCUCUCCGCUCUCCCUUGAAAAUUUCCCCACUGCACUACUUAUAGCUACUUGCGCCCUCUAUAUAGCAAACAAUGCCUAAUCGGUGCCUACUGGUCCCCCAUGAUCCUCUUUUCUUAUAUUAAUUGAGAGCUGAUUUGAUGAGAUAACCACCUGUCAGUGACCUUGCAGGGUGGUCUAAUCCCUCUGGCCAAACUAGUACAGACGGGCUUUAACAAAUCACGAGCAGGAAGUACCAUGACAUGACCCUC